CCUCGGGGGGCUGCAGUGGGGAAUAUUGGACAAUGGGCGAAAGCCUGAUCCAGCCAUGCCGCGUGUGUGAAGAAGGCCUUCGGGUUGUAAAGCACUUUCAGUGGGGAAGAAAGCCUUGGGGCUAAUACCCUCGAGGAAGGACAUCACCCACAGAAGAAGCACCGGCUAACUCCGUGCCAGCAGCCGCGGUAAUACGGAGGGUGCGAGCGUUAAUCGGAAUUACUGGGCGUAAAGCGCGCGUAGGCGGUCUGAUAAGCCGGUUGUGAAAGCCCCGGGCUCAACCUGGGAACGGCAUCCGGAACUGUCAGGCUAGAGUGCAGGAGAGGAAGGUAGAAUUCCCGGUGUAGCGGUGAAAUGCGUAGAGAUCGGGAGGAAUACCAGUGGCGAAGGCGGCCUUCUGGACUGACACUGACGCCGAGGUGCGAAAGCGUGGGUAGCAAACAGGAUUAGAUACCCGGGUAGUC
rnacentral:rRNA from 1 species